AGACACCCUUCUGGGGCAAGACUUGCUUCAGUGGGGCUUUGGAGCUCACUGAGUCUGCCCCCUGAGUGUGUCCCU
rnacentral:pre_miRNA from 1 species